AUGAUUUGUCAAAUGUAUUUAAACUGGUUUGGACCAUUUCUUCUUCUUAUUAAUCCUCCCUUAGCCACUCUUGGCUUUUCCUGGAAGAACGGCCUCUGCAGCUGUCGCCUGGCUGGAGGAAAGGCGGGGGACCCCACAGCCCCCCUGCCCAAGAACCGGGGACAUCGCCACAUUCUGCGCCCUUAGGACUAACGUCAGGUUCGGCCUAGAGUAGGUUUUGGCAAAAUGUCUGCCAAUGAAUCGUGUCCCCUCUUCCUGGAGAUAUUAAGCAAUAUUCUUUGCUUUGUCCACACUUUCAGGAGGAGAGAAGGUGUAUUGGCAAAGGAUGGUGCUGAAGCAUGAAGCUGCUGCUGCAGCCUUGAAGCUGGAAGGCUCGCCCUGAAGUUAGACGGAUUGGGGUACCCAACCUCUGCCAAACCCACCUCUGUGUUCCUGUCUGCCUGGGAAAAAGAAAAGACACUCUCGAUCCGUCACCUGAAGUAGCCACAAUUAGGAAAGUGCUAGGACUGCAUUGUCUGAGUUCUUUGCCAGGAUCCCGGGAGUAGGGGUGGGGAGGGACAAAGGUGUGGGCUGAGGGGACCCUUCAGACAACCCCGUUGUCUCCAGGGCGGGGGGAUCUCUUUAAAAAAAACACGUGAGGCUCCCCUGGAAAUGUUCAUGUCCUUCUUCUCAAGGGCACACACGGCAGAAGCGACCCCGGCUCUCAGAUCACAGGCUCUGUG
rnacentral:lncRNA from 1 species